rnacentral:rRNA from 1 species
AUGGCUCAGUGAGGCCUUGGGACUGGCUCAGAGAGGUCGGCAACGACCACUCAGAGCCGGAAACUUGGUCAAACUUGGUCAUUUAGAGGAAGUAAAAGUCGUAACAAGGUUUCUGAUCCUUCCGUGGGUGAACGCCAUUCAGGAAGCCUUUGCCGCCCGAAAGGGUGUGUACCGCGACUAUAAACAAUGCAAGUACACCUAAGGGCAAGUCUCGAUCGAGGAAUCGUGGCGACGCUGUCCAAUUGCGGCGAGUCCCUAAAGACUGUGUGACCAAGCCAUCUCCGAAAGGGGGUGGUGGCCGAGUUAGUAGCCCUGGGUAUGGUAACACUACACAGUAUAAUCAAUUUUCUGCGCUCUUCAGUGUAGGAGGUUGUGAAAUGGGUAAGCACGCAGCCAAGUCCUAAGGCCUGCUUUGGCAGGCUACGGAUGCAGUUCACAGGCCAAAUGGCAGCGGGUGCGAUCUAGAGGUGAUCGUGCUCAAGAUAUGGUCGGUCCCCUUGGGAAACUAUGGGGGAGUUCACUCAUUGUAAGUGUGAAGUUCACGUCUACAUUAUCACAAAGGAUUGAACAAGAUAAGUUGUGUUGGUCACCAGAUGGCCAGCCCGAGGCUGGAUUCGGAGGGUGUAUUGUCUGUGGAGGGAGGCAGCUAUUCUUCUUGACUGGGUGCCAUCUCCUCCACAUAUGCGAGGUUGGCCCUUGCGCGCUCAACCUCGUCCUCCUCCUCCCAGCCUCGCCAGAACGCGGUAUCAUAUAUGCAGCCACCUCCGUGCAGGUACUGACAUGUUGCUUGUAUGAUACCGUCGAUCUGGGCCCGUAGUUCCCGCUCACCCCAAUGUGCGGUGCCACGCCUGCGUGGUAUUGUCUCACCUCCUGCUCGAUGACUCGGCAGCAGUUCUGGCGGCUCCGGUUCUGGAACCCCCGUUCCUCCACGAGGUAACGGGGGUUGAUGUUUCUGGAACCUCAGGGUCAGCAUGUCGUUCAGCCGGGUGCAGGCUCGGGUUGUCCGUACCUUGCCGUCCGGAGCACGCCGAGCCACAGGAGGUGAGACACCUCUCGAUCUUCGCGCAACUGCCCGUGCAUGCACCGGUAUGUGACCCGGUGCAUGAGGUAUUUGACCCCAUCACCCCGCCAUCUGAUUUGACUGUAUCCGUCAUGCGUGACGGCGUAUGGCGAAAAGACGGGGCAAUGGGGCCACACCGGGGGGUUUUGGCGCAGGUUGGCGAGGUCGAGAGGACGCAGGUGCGGAUUCUUGGCCGGGAACUGGGGCGAGCUGACCAUCUGGUGGACCAUAUCGAUACAAUUUGCUUGGGUUCGGGCGGCGAGGGACAUUUUGGAGGUUCUGCAGCCUGGUCAGCACUGUACCACAACGCUGACGGCACACUGGUACAUACUGCUGGCGGCGGUGGUGGUGAGUUGGGCAUUCUGAGAACGACGGGGAGCUGAGGAGUGCAUUUGAGUAAGUCAUUGCUACCAUUGCGUGAGGCAGGUGCUUGCUCGCAGUCCUGACUCAUGCCAUUGUCGUGGUCAAUGGAAGGUGCGCUCUCCAAACUUGCCCCGGCGCAAGGCUGAGCAAGUCUGCAAGGCUGAACCCCCUAUUUGCGUUCCACUGCCGCGCCGCUACACCACAAUCCAGCACCCACCCAACUUGUGCCGCCGCCGCAGAGUGAUAAUGUCGACGUUUGAACUACAUGCAUAAAGAAACGUUCCGUAGGUGAACCUGCGGAAGGAUCAUUAACGAGUUAGGGUCUCUAUGGCCCGACCUCCCAACCCUAUGUGUAUUGAACCUGUGUUGCUUCGGCUGACCCGUCGUGAAAACGACCGCCGGAGGACUGUCGAGAGGCGUCCUCUGGCCCGCGUCCGUCGGUGGCCUACACCUUUAAAAUUCUGAAUGAACCAUGUUUACCGCCUAAGUUCUUUUGAUAAAUUAAAGCAAAAACUUUCAACAACGGAUCUCUUGGUUCUGGCAUCGAUGAAGAACGCAGCGAAAUGCGAUAAGUAAUGCGAAUUGCAGAAUUCCAGUGAGUCAUCGAAUCUUUGAACGCACAUUGCGCCCUUUGGUAUUCCGAAGGGCAUGCCUGUUCGAGCGUCAUUAUCACCCCUCAAGCCCCUGGGCUUGGUGUUGGACGGCUUGGUCGUGAGAAUCGACCCCUCCUAAAGACAAUGACGGCGGCCUCGUGGAACCCCCGGUACACUGAGCUUUCACUUUUGAGCACGUAUCGGAUGUCAAGGGUGCCCAGGUUACGGUCCUCUUCCUGCGAAUAGCGGGAAAACACUUUUCAAGGUUGACCUCGGAUCAGGUAGGGAUACCCGCUGAACUUAAGCAUAUCAAUAAGCGGAGGAAAAGAAACCAACAGGGAUUGCCUCAGUAACGGCGAGUGAAGCGGCAACAGCUCAAAUUUGAAAUCUGGCCUCUUUGGGGUCCGAGUUGUAAUUUGUAGAGGAUGUUUCGGGUACCGCCUCGGUUUAAAUUUCUUGGAACAGAAUGUCAGAGAGGGUGAGAAUCCCGUCUUGGACCGGCGGUAGGGCCCGUGUGAAACUCCUUCGACGAGUCGAGUUGUUUGGGAAUGCAGCUCAAAAUGGGUGGUAUAUUUCAUCUAAAGCUAAAUAUUGGCCAGAGACCGAUAGCGCACAAGUAGAGUGAUCGAAAGAUGAAAAGCACUUUGAAAAGAGAGUUAAACAGUAUGUGAAAUUGUUGAAAGGGAAGCGCUUGCAACCAGACUUGAGCGCGGCGGUUCCCCCUUCCUUUUGGCUGGGUUACUCCGCCGCGUCCAGGCCAACAUCGGUUCUGGGGGUCGGUUAAAGGCCCUGGGAAUGUAUCUACCCUUCGGGCGUAGACUUAUAGCCCAGGGUGUCAUGCGGCCUCCCGGGACCGAGGAACGCGCUUCGGCUCGGAUGUUGGCGUAAUGGUUGUCAGCGACCCGUCUUGAAACACGGACCAAGGAGUCUAACAUCUAUGCGAGUGUUUGGGUGUCAAACCCGGAACGCGAAAUGAAAGUGAACGGAGGUAGGAAGCUUCGGCUGCACUAUCGACCGAUCCUGAUGUCUUCGGAUGGAUUUGAGUAAGAGCAUAGCUGUUGGGACCCGAAAGAUGGUGAACUAUGCCUGAAUAGGGUGAAGCCAGAGGAAACUCUGGUGGAGGCUCGCAGCGGUUCUGACGUGCAAAUCGAUCGUCAAAUUUGGGUAUAGGGGUAAGUUUUAAAUCCUUAUGCUUUUGAAAGAAUUCAAGCUAACAAUGUUCUCUAGGCGAAAGACUAAUCGAACCAUUCGACGACUACGAUCUUGUAGUGAGCUAUCUGGUGGUUAAGUGUAAUCCUGAAAGGGGUUGCAAGUGCCUUAUUCUGGCGCAACACUGUCAAAUUGCGGGGACUUCCUAAAGCUUUAGCGACCGCCUUACUUAUGAAAAUAGGUGUAGGCACCGGGUUAACGACCUAGGGUAUGGUAAAACUGCUAGAGAUGUUACAAUGGACAAUCUGCAGCCAAGUCCUAAGGGUGUUCUUAUACCUAUGGAUGCAGUUCACAGACUAAAUGGCAGUGGGCUCUUAGGGAGAAAAAAGUCCCUUUGGGCUUAAGACAUAGUCGGUCCCCCGGGGAGACCUGGGCGCACAUGCUAAAUCUGGGAUGUAGAAUACUCCCAUCUCUUUAGAGGGGAGACAUUCCAGACCUGAACGGUGCGGAUGCCCAUCACAGGCGUCGAGAAAUG